rfam:Parcubacteria group bacterium CG1_02_40_82 cg1_0.2_scaffold_4043_c, whole genome shotgun sequence.
GGGGAUGAUAGGCCUCGAUAGAAGCUCAUUUCAAAAUAUGCGAUUUGAGUUUUCUAAAAUCUCAUUAAACUUUUAGGAAAAGAAUAAGUGCCAACUUAUUUGAAAAACAACCUGCUUUAGCUUUUGCUUAAAGCACAUCUGUUUUGCUGAUGCUCGAUAGGCAAAAACAGGUGUCAAAUUAUCGAGCUGGGUAAUAGCUUUUUCGGGAGAUAUUGCCGACAAAAACCGAAUGCGGAUUGAAAAUAUUUUUUUCGGUUUAAGUUUUCAUUCCAAAGGCAUUAACCGAAACAUAAUCGUAGAAAUAUUUUGAAAAAAGCAUUCUACACGCGAGUUCAAUUCUCGCCAUCUCCACAU